rnacentral:rRNA from 1 species
AUUGAACGCUGGCGGCAGGCCUAACACAUGCAAGUCGAGCGGAUGAAGGGAGCUUGCUCCUGGAUUCAGCGGCGGACGGGUGAGUAAUGCCUAGGAAUCUGCCUGGUAGUGGGGGAUAACGUCCGGAAACGGGCGCUAAUACCGCAUACGUCCUGAGGGAGAAAGUGGGGGAUCUUCGGACCCCUCGCUCUAGAGGAAUCCUAGGUCGGAUUAGCUAGUUGGUGGGGUAAAGGCCUACCAAGGCGACGAUCCGUACCUGGUCUGAGAGGAUGAUCAGUCACACUGGAACUGAGACACGGUCCAGACUCCUACGGGAGGCAGCAGUGGGGAAUAUUGGACAAAGGGCGAAAGCCUGAUCCAGCCAUGCCGCGUGUGUGAAGAAGGUCUUCGGAUUGUAAAGCACUUUAAGUUGGGAGGAAGGGCAGUAAGUUAAUACCUUGCUGUUUUGACGUUACCAACAGAAUAAGCACCGGCUAACUUCGUG